AAACGGACCUGGACAUAAUUUGUGCUUACCUCUGUAUCUUGAAAGUAGCUUGACUUCUAAUUUUUAAAUUUUGGUGAAUCACUCAAGAUGCACAAAUAAACCAUUUUAUGCAUAAAAAUUAAAAUUCAAUUUUGAUACAAAAUCGUGUCUAGGUUCCUAUAAAUAAUUUCGUGUAUUACGCUCAUCAUAUGAACAGUUAAUUUGCAGGAUUUAAGACACGUGAAGGUCACGUUAGACACGCCAUUUAUUGAAUCAGUAUUUAUUUUACUAGUUGGUUUUUCAUGUCCCUCAUUUAUACAUAUAUGCAUGAUUGUAUAUUUCAAUUUACAUAUUGAAUAUUAAGCAAAAUCUUGAUCAGCAUGUAUUUUGUAAUGGGAAUGUUCCUUAACCUAUGUACUUCUGAUGCAAUGAAUAUGUGUUAUGUAAUAUAGUUGUAUUGUAUCCUUCGCAUAAUAAAAUACCAUGAUUCUACUCGUCAUUUUCAACAUAUUUCUUGUUACACUUUUUACACCAUUAUAGGAAAUGAAAUGAACAAUAUAAAACAUU
rnacentral:sRNA from 1 species